rnacentral:rRNA from 1 species
CUUGGUCAUUUAGAGGAAGUAAAAGUCGUAACAAGGUCUCCGUUGGUGAACCAGCGGAGGGAUCAUUACCGAGUUAUACAACUCAUCAACCCUGUGAACAUACCUAAAACGUUGCUUCGGCGGGAACAGACGGCCCUGUAACAACGGGCCGCCCCCGCCAGGGGACCCCUAACUCUGUUUUUAUAAUGUUUUUCUGAGUAAACAAGCAAAUAAAUUAAAACUUUCAACAACGGAUCUCUUGGCUCUGGCAUCGAUGAAGAACGCAGCGAAAUGCGAUAAGUAAUGUGAAUUGCAGAAUUCAGUGAAUCAUCGAAUCUUUGAACGCACAUUGCGCCCGCCAGUAUUCUGGCGGGCAUGCCUGUUCGAGCGUCAUUACAACCCUCAGGCCCCCGGGCCUGGCGUUGGGGAUCGGCGGAAGCCCCCUGUGGGCACACGCCGUCCCUCAAAUACAGUGGCGGUCCCGCCGCAGCUUCCAUUGCGUAGUAGCUAACACCUCGCAACUGGAGAGCGGCGCGGCCAUGCCGUAAAACACCCAACUUCUGAAUGUUGACCUCGAAUCAGGUAGGAAUACCCGCUGAACUUAAGCAUAUCAAUAAGCGGAGGA